CACGUAGGGCGCGAGCGUUGUCCGGAAUUAUUGGGCGUAAAGCGCGUGUAGGCGGCUUGGUAAGUCCGCUCUGAAAGCCCGGGGCUCAACCCCGGGAGGCGGGUGGAUACUGUCAAGCUCGAGUCCGGAAGAGGCGAGUGGAAUUCCUGGUGUAGCGGUGAAAUGCGUAGAGAUCGGGAAGAACACCCGUGGCGAAGGCGGCCGGCUGGGCCGACCCUGACACUGAGGCGCGAAAGCGUGGGGAGCGAACAGG
rnacentral:rRNA from 1 species